rnacentral:rRNA from 1 species
UACGUAGGCAGCGAGCGUUGUUCGGAGUUACUGGGCGUAAAGGGUGUGUAGGCGGUUAUUUAAGUUUGGUGUGAAAUCUCCCGGCUCAACCGGGAGGGUGCGCCGAAUACUGAAUGACUUGGAGUGCGGGAGAGGAAAGUGGAAUUCCUGGUGUAGCGGUGAAAUGCGUAGAUAUCAGGAGGAACACCGGUGGUGUAGACGGCUUUCUGGACCGUAACUGACGCUGAGACACGAAAGCGUGGGUAGCAAACGGG